rnacentral:rRNA from 1 species
GGCCCAUCCGCGCAACGAAAGCGAAUGGCGGGACGCUCUCCCGCAGGGGGGCGGCGCCGCCGGCCGGACGUCCUCGAGGCGGACCGAGCCGGAGCGCUCGCGUCGGGACCCGAAAGGUGGUGAUCUAUCCGUGCGCGCGGCGAAGCCGGGGGAAACCCCGGUGGAGGCCCGUCGACGGUACUGACGUGCAAAUCGUUCGUCCGACGUGCGAAUAGGGGCGAAAGACCAAUCGAACCUCCUAGUAGCUGGUUUCCGCCGAAAUUUCCCCUCAGGAUAGCGGCCAUCGCGGAAACGUUUUGACCGGUAGAGCGAACGACUAGAGGUACCGGGGCCGUAACGGCCUCGACCUAUUCUCGAACUCCGAACGGGCAAGGAGCCGGGGGUCGCCCGAUCGGACCCCGGACGUGAAGUCGACGAUGGUCGGUGGGCUGGUUUUGGUAAGCAGAACGGGCGAUUCGGGAUGAACCGGAAGCGGGGAG